AUUAAUUAAAAAAUAUAAAUGUAUUCAUAAAACUUAAAACACAUUAAAAACUAACAAUUUAGGAUUAAACAACAACAAUACUAAGAAUUCAAACAAAUUUAGUUAUAUAAUUAAAAUUUGGUGUACACAACAUAAUCAUAUUCAUGCCAAACUUAACACAAAAUAAAAUCAACACAAAAUUAUAUUUUUCUAAACAAACCGAUCCAUCAAACGCGGGCUUGCCCUAGUUUUAGUAAUAACAAUGUUUAUUAAUAAAUGUUAUUUUUGAAACCAUCACCUAUAGAACAUACUAUUCGAUUUCUUCACAGUCUAUACUAAAGCUACUAAUGCAAGAAACAAUAUAUAUUAGUUUUGAAACCAUGUCUUUUUAUAUCAUUUUGAAACCAUCUCAGUUUUGAAACUAUCAAGUAUACAUAUAUAUCAUGUAAAAUCUACAAAAAGGUGUCAAUUUAAUAUAGUGUAUUAAUAUUGAAAUAUUGUACAUAAGCAUAAGCAAUAAUAAUUUGUGUUAUUAGAUGU
rnacentral:lncRNA from 1 species